AAGAGGAUAGGAACUCAAAUGACUGACAUUGUCAAUUUAUAGUGAAGUAUUUCUCUUAACCGUUCUACUUUCUGGGUCUGGAUGAAGAAUUGUCUUGCUACAAGACGGUAGCGUGCAUUUUUCAGUUUCUGAUGUAAAUUGAUUCUGCAAAUUCAGUGUCCUGAAGCACAGCUGGUUUAUAGGCCUCCCUCAGUUGUUGAUAUGCUUGAGGGAAGGCUCUAAUCCCCAAUUGUCCAACGAAGAUGGAUUUUCCUUAAAGUUCUGUUCGUAUCAAUUGUAGUCUCCCUUUCUUUUGUUUGUUUUAGGACACUGAAUUUUCCUUUUAAGUUCUGUUGGUGCUCUGUCAACCAGAUUGUAUAUACAUGUCAUAAUCCGAGGCUGUUAAUUUUGUAACAU
rnacentral:misc_RNA from 1 species